AUGAAGCUGGAAUCGCUAGUAAUCGCGGAUCAGCAUGCCGCGGUGAAUACGUUCCCGGGCCUUGUACACACCGCCCGUCACACCACGAGAGUUUGUAACACCCGAAGUCGGUGAGGUAACCUUUUGGAGCCAGCCGCCUAAGGUGGGACAGAUGAUUGGGGUGAAGUCGUAACAAGGUAGCCGUAUCGGAAGGUGCGGCUGGAUCACCUCCUUUCUAAGGA
rnacentral:rRNA from 1 species